CAGCUGGUUCAGAGCAUCUGCCUUACAAGCAGAGGGUCGGCGGUUCGAAUCCGUCAACGCCCA
rnacentral:tRNA from 1 species